GACACGGUUACAUCACAUUCCUUUCUGCAUCACAGUUGUCUUUUGUCUUAUUUGUCUCUCUCACUGAUUACAUAGUACUAGAGGCAAUGGGCGGUGUGGUUUUUGUUGGAGUUAUUUAUGUUUUAAUUUUUUUUUAUUCCCCAGUACCCAGCACUGUUAAUGGUACACAAUGGAAGUUUAAGAAGAGCUUCUUCUUCUACCACAUCCUCAACCGAUUUGCUGAAAAUACACAUUCUAGGCAAAGCACACAUCUGGAAUCGACUACCUGAAUCACCUUCUUGCCUGCCAAUUUUUGUUCAGUGUUCCUGACACUUUGCUGUAUUUAACAUUGACUCCUUGAUAUAGUGUAGUCAUUCCAAAAUGUUCAGGGGGUAAGAAAACUGGAACCCAGAGAAAACAUGUAAUUUCCCGUUAUUACACAGCAAAUAAGCUAAGUGAAGAUUUAAGCCCUGAUGUAAUUGAUUCUAAAGUUAAAAGAAAGCCAAGUAUUCCUUUUAAGUGAAGAACAACAACAAAAUCACUUCCUUAAAAUGCAAAUGAAGUUUCAAGAGCAUAUGAUCCUCUUACUAUCUGAAGAAUAUCUUAGAUGAAUUCAGUAACAUGCAAUUAUGUCAAAAGAUAGGAAUGUAUGUAAACAUACGAAUGGUGAGAUGUUUGAAACCAUAAACUGGGGAAGGGGAAUAAACAGAUUUUGGUCUGGUAA